rnacentral:rRNA from 1 species
UACGGGGGGAGCAAGCGUUGUUCGGAUUUACUGGGCGUAAAGGGCGCGUAGGCGGUCAGCACAAGUCAGUUGUGAAAUCUCCGAGCUUAACUCGGAAAGGUCAACUGAUACUGUGCGACUAGAGUGCGGAAGGGGCAACUGGAAUUCUUGGUGUAGCGGUGAAAUGCGUAGAUAUCGAGAGGAACACCUGCGGCGAAGGCGGGUUGCUGGGCUGACACUGACGCUGAUGCGCGAAAGCCAGGGGAGCGAACGGG